rnacentral:rRNA from 1 species
GACGUAGGGCGCGAGCGUUGUCCGGAUUUAUUGGGCGUAAAGAGCUCGUAGGCGGCUCGUCGCGUCGGCUGUGAAAACCCGCGGCUUAACUGUGGGCUUGCAGCUGAUACGGGCGGGCUAGAGUUCGGUAGGGGAGACUGGAAUUCCUGGUGUAGCGGUGAAAUGCGCAGAUAUCAGGAGGAACACCGGUGGCGAAGGCGGGUCUCUGGGCCGAUACUGACGUGAGGAGCGAAAGCGUGGGGAGCGAACAGG